CCCAGUCCUCCCAUAAGUGGUAUUUACAUUAGUUUUGCUCUUGAAAGAUGAACCUUAAGCAGAAAUUCCCAGCUGUGAUUUUUCUUCUCCAACUUCCCGUAUUUGACGCGAGCUGUGUAGAUGGUGAAUGCUAGCUCCUUGACCGCUGAAAGGUACAUGCAGUCUUCCCUCUGUGAUCCCUUUAGCUGCUGAAAUAUUCCACGUCCCCAGAGCCAGAGGCCCAAGAAAGAAAACCAGCUGGGACUCUGAUGACAAUGACCCCCAAGUGGCUGGUCCAGAGCAACGAAGUGGCUGUGAUAUGCCACCUGCAAGAUGAGAACAGAAGGACCAAGGAAAAUACCUUCCUGUUUUCAUCUCCCAGACAUGCAGAGGGUCCCAGAUGCCCUCCUUUGAAGAAGAAUCCCUAACACUUCCCCCACUCUUUUCAGGUAAUUGUGCUAAGUACUUUACACGUCUCAUUUAAUCCUAUCUGCAUCCCUUUGAG
rnacentral:lncRNA from 1 species